rnacentral:lncRNA from 1 species
GUUUACUGGAGGCUUAGCCAAAGCUUUUCCCUUCUCAGUUUUCAGUGCCCCAGAUUCCCAAGACAGAUGAGCAGGAGGAAGGAAUCCAAACUUCUAGAAACAGCUCAUCUUCCCUUGUGCUUGCCGCACUGGGUGCUUGGUGUGGGCUGGUGGCGUGUGUGUGUGUGUGUGUGUGUGUGUGUGUGUGUGUGUGUGUGCGCGCGCAGGAAUAUGCAGACCUCAGGGUUUCUAAGUGCCCGGCCACGGUCUGGUCUUGAUUAGGCAGGCGGAGGGAAGUGGGUCCACAGCAGCGAUCAGAGCUGCUGCAUCCAGCUGUGAGGCUGCAGAGCCAGAAACGCGUGCGACCUGAAAGGGAACACAUUUCUAGAGGGCCUCGGGCCAAGGUGGAGGUGAUGAGGGCAGGAUGCGGAGGCCAGCGGAGGACAAGUGCUGACUGGCAUGGGGAUGCUAUGGGUGGGGGGACGGUCAGGAAUUAGCAGCUGAUUUCAAGCGUUGGGAGGAGGUGCGGAGACAAGGAGGCAGCGGCUGGGGUGAUUCCAGAGUAAUUAGGGUGGAAAAUUCUGGAGCAUCCUCGCUGCUUCCCUCAGGACAGAGGCUGCGUGUUUCUCAGCUCUGUCCUGGCAGCGGCUGGCGGAGCAUGUGUGGGCUUCAUUGAAUACGCUGCCCGAGUGUCUUGCAGCUUUUCCCAGGCGUCUUCUGUGUCUCCUGGUCCCCACGGCUGCAACUUCGACAACUGAGUUCUCUUGCUCUGGCUGCAUUUCAGGACAAGAGCAUGCCUGCUUGAGGUGCCUAGAAUCCUGGCUGGACCCAAAACACUGCAGACUACUUGGUUUCUGUCCAAGGACAGCCCCAAUGGCCUGGACAGGCCUUUUUUCAUCGAGAACAUGGAGUAAACCCGUGGAGAAACCCCAAACUCCGAGACCAGAUCUGGAAAGAACUUUCUUGGCCCAAACUCACCCUUGGAUCAUCUCCAUUUCAUCCUCACGGCGUCAGCGUCCUUAUUUCCUUGUCUGUAAACGGAAGCAAAGUUGGACAGAGGUGUCUGUGACCUUGGACCCAGGGAGAUUUGGCCUCUAUUCCAGGAACUGCAGCUCUCUCUCCAGGAGGUGA